rnacentral:rRNA from 1 species
UACGUAGGGGGCAAGCGUUGCUCGGAAUCACUGGGCGUAAAGAGCUCGUAGGCGGUUUGUUGCGUCGGCUGUGAAAUCCCGAGGCUCAACCUCGGGUCUGCAGUCGAUACGAGCAAACUAGAGUGUUGCAGGGGAGACUGGAAUUCCUGGUGUAGCGGUGGAAUGCGCAGAUAUCAGGAGGAACACCGGUGGCGAAGGCGGGUCUCUGGGCAGUAACUGACGCUGAGGAGCGAAAGCGUGGGGAGCGAACAGG